AAACAUGUCUAUUUGAAGGUAUAGAUAGUCUGGUCUGCUCACUGACAUAUAAUGUUUAAGAGCCGCGGUAUUUUGACCGUGCAAAGGUAGCAUAAUCAUUAGUUUUUUAAUUGGGAACUUGUAUGAAAGAUCGGACAAAGGAAAAGCUGUCUUUAUUGUAAGGAUUGAAAUUAACUUUUAAGUGAAAAGGCUUAAAUGUUUCAGGGGGACGAUAAGACCCUAUAAAGCUUUAUAUGUUAAUUGAAUUUGGUUGAAUUAUAAUAAAUGGCUUAAUUGAAUUGUCAUAUUUUAUUGGGGUGAUAAGAGUAUAAGUAUUAUUAACUACUUUAAUUGAAUACAAUGAUAAGUGAGAAGAAAUUAAUGGUCCUUUUUAAAGAUUAAAAGACUAAGUUACUUUAGGGAUAACAGCGUUAUUUCUUUUGAGAGUUCACAUCGAAAAAGAAGUUUGCGACCUCGAUGUUGAAUUAAAAUGUCUAUAUGAUGCAGCAGUUAUAUAAGAAGGUCUGUUCGACCUUUAAAUUUUUACGUGA
rnacentral:rRNA from 1 species